UAGAUUUUUAGUGAUUAUUUUAUUUGAAAUUGCUAUUUAUUUCUGAUUUUAAUCUUGAAAUUGUCUUGAAACUUUAAUUUCAAACCUUUGAAAGGAAAGACUUAUGUUUGAAAUUUUCACCAUUGUUUUGCAUGUUGGAGAUAAUUUAGUCAGAUGGGAAAUCUGCAUUUUGUAUAUCGUUCUUAUAAGCAAGGAUAAGGAAUUGACCCUUAUUGAUUUUGGAGCAUUAAUAAAUCUGUUACCAAAAAACCCUGAUUUGAAAUGGCAAUCUUUCUGUCGGCUGCUGAAUUAGUCUGGCCUUGGCACAAACUUAAACUGUUAAUUUUGCACUAUUUUCUUCCACAUACUCCCCUUUUUUGGCGUUGGACUGGAAGCCUUUCAUAGCUUGAUUAAAAGGGCCUCAUCAACUAAAAUACCUUAAAUUAGGGGUCUGUCAAUUUCACUUUAUUGUGCUGAUAUCUCACUUUUGGUCCUUGAUGUCACAAAUUUUAACUUGCUUAUGCCCAAGAGUGUUUAUGCCAAAUUAGAUGCUACUUGUCUUUUGUUCUGGCCAGUGUUUUAACUUUGAAGCAUUAAACCAAGUGUUUGUAAUAUACUUCUGUUUUCAAUUGUUGAUGCCUAUUUCUAUUUGAAAAUACACUGUUUGUUUUAAGAUGGUUUGUGGUACAUCAUUAUUAUUGCCUUUUAAAUUCUUUAUUUUAUUCAUGUUUUAGGUUUAUAGAUCUCGCUUUUUGUGAACUCUGUUUUCUGCAUGCACUUCUUUUUGUUACCGUAGUUGAUCCUUUGUUGAUAAUAAUUCUUUAUUUUAUUUCAUUUGUGUUUCUCUUUGCUAACUCAUAAAAGAAAAUUCAGAAUAAAAAUAAUUUUGAGUUGCAGGUAAAAAAAAGUAUGAUUCAUAAACAGCCUUUUGUUGAUGAUGAUUCUUAUGAGGUUGCUU
rnacentral:misc_RNA from 1 species